rnacentral:rRNA from 1 species
UAAGCCUGCGAAGGUGGCCUGUGAGGGUUGCUGGAGGUAUCAGAAGUGCGAAUGCUGACAUAAGUAACGAUAAAGCGGGUGAAAAGCCCGCUCGCCGGAAGACCAAGGGUUCCUGUCCAACGUUAAUCGGGGCAGGGUGAGUCGACCCCUAAGGCGAGGCCGAAAGGCGUAGUCGAUGGGAAACGGGUUAAUAUUCCCGUACUUGGUGUUACUGCGAAGGGGGGACGGAGAAGGCUAUGUUGGCCGGGCGACGGUUGUCCCGGUUUAAGCGUGUAGGUGUGUGUUCCAGGUAAAUCCGGUUCACUUUAACACUGAGGCGUGACGACGAGGCACUACGGUGCUGAAGCAACAAAUGCCCUGCUUCCAGGAAAAGCCUCUAAGCAUCAGGUAACACGAAAUCGUACCCCAAACCGACACAGGUGGUCAGGUAGAGAAUACCAAGGCGCUUGAGAGAACUCGGGUGAAGGAACUAGGCAAAAUGGUGCCGUAACUUCGGGAGAAGGCACGCUGACACGUAGGUGAAGUGAUUUACUCAUGGAGCUGAAGUCAGUCGAAGAUACCAGCUGGCUGCAACUGUUUAUUAAAAACACAGCACUGUGCAAACACGAAAGUGGACGUAUACGGUGUGACGCCUGCCCGGUGCCGGAAGGUUAAUUGAUGGGGUCAGCGCAAGCGAAGCUCCUGAUCGAAGCCCCGGUAAACGGCGGCCGUAACUAUAACGGUCCUAAGGUAGCGAAAUUCCUUGUCGGGUAAGUUCCGACCUGCACGAAUGGCGUAAUGAUGGCCAGGCUGUCUCCACCCGAGACUCAGUGAAAUUGAACUCGCUGUGAAGAUGCAGUGUACCCGCGGCAAGACGGAAAGACCCCGUGAACCUUUACUAUAGCUUGACACUGAACAUUGAGCCUUGAUGUGUAG